GGAAUAUUGCACAAUGGGGGAAACCCUGAUGCAGCGACGCCGCGUGAGUGAAGAAGUAUCUCGGUGGGUAAAGCUCUACCAGCAGGGAAGAAAAUGACGGUACCUGACUAAGAAGCCCCGGCUAACGACGUGCCAGCAGCCGCGGUAAUACGUAGGGGGCAAGCGGUAUCCGGAUUUACUGGGUGUAAAAGGAGCGUAGACGGCAGCGCAAGUCUGGAGUGAAAUGCCGGGGCCCAACCCCGGAACUGCUUUGGAAACUGUGCAGCUCGAGUGCAGGAGAGGUAAGCGGAAUUCCUAGUGUAGCGGUGAAAUGCGUAGAUAUUAGGAGGAACACCAGUGGCGAAGGCGGCUUACUGGACUGUAACUGACGUUGAGGCUCGAAAGCGUGGGGAGCAAACA
rnacentral:rRNA from 1 species